GGCUCAGGAUGAACGCUAGCGGCAGGCCUAAUACAUGCAAGUCGAACGAUAUCUUCCAGCUUGCUGGAAGAGAAAGUGGCGCACGGGUGCGUAACGCGUAUGCAACCUACCUUCAUCAGGGGGAUAGCCCGGAGAAAUCCGGAUUAAUACCGCAUAAAAUCACAGGAUGGCAUUAUCCAAUGAUCAAACAUUUAUGGGAUGGAGAUGGGCAUGCGUGUCAUUAGCUAGUUGGCGGGGUAACGGCCCACCAAGGCGACGAUGACUAGGGGAUCUGAGAGGAUGGCCCCCCACACUGGUACUGAGACACGGACCAGACUCCUACGGGAGGCAGCAGUAAGGAAUAUUGGUCAAUGGGGGCAACCCUGAACCAGCCAUGCCGCGUGCAGGAAGACUGCCCUAUGGGUUGUAAACUGCUUUUAUCCGGGAAUAAACCUGCUUACGUGUAAGUAGC
rnacentral:rRNA from 1 species